UACGGAGGGGACUAGCGUUGUUCGGAAUUACUGGGCGUAAAGCGCACGUAGGCGGCUUGUUAAGUCAGGGGUGAAAUCCCGAGGCUCAACCUCGGAACUGCCUUUGAUACUGGCAAUCUCGAGUCCGGAAGAGGUGAGUGGAAUUCCUGGUGUAGCGGUGAAAUGCGCAGAUAUCAGGAGGAACACCAAUGGCGAAGGCGGUUCUCUGGGACGGUACUGACGCUGAGACGCGAAAGCGUGGGGAGCGAACAGG
rnacentral:rRNA from 1 species